GCUUGGAGAUGGAGUGGCAACUGGAGUGAAAACUCCCCAAGGGGUCAGUUGACCACCCGACAGUGCCCCCAAGCUGCCAUCUCCAGGCUGGGAGAGGGAGGCUCCAGCAGAGGGGCACCGAGAGCCUUACUCGUGCCAGGUCCCAGCCUGGGCUUUUUCUUCUUGUGGAUGGCAGUGUCGCAGAGAGCAACUGGGAAUGCCCGAGGCCCCUUGAAGUCUUGGCCCCAGAGUGGCUUCCCUUCCUCCUUCCUCCUUCUGUUGCCAGAGCCAGUCACAGUGCCAAGCUCAAAGUCACAGGUGAACACUGUCUUGCCUCUCAGUGGGAGACACGACGGAGUUGGAACCAACAGUGCAAUCUGCCACAGUUCUAGUUUCCUUGUCACUACAGCCGCCACCAGGGCUGUGUAACCAGCACCGUAAUUCCAGGAAGCAAGCAGACUCUUUUCCCACAGUAUGUUCCAG
ensembl:lncRNA